rnacentral:rRNA from 1 species
GUAGGGAAUAUUGGGCAAUGGUCGGAAGACUGACCCAGCCAUGCCGCGUGCAGGAAGACGGCCCUCUGGGUUGUAAACUGCUUUUAUCUGGGAAGAAAAAGGCCAUGCGUGGCAAAUUGCCGGUACCAGAUGAAUAAGCACCGGCUAACUCCGUGCCAGCAGCCGCGGUAAUACGGAGGGUGCGAGCGUUGUCCGGAUUUAUUGGGUUUAAAGGGUGCGUAGGCGGCUGAUUAAGUCAGCGGUGAAAGACUUCGGCUUAACCGGAGCAGUGCCGUUGAUACUGGUUGGCUUGAGUGUCGGAGGGGUACAUGGAAUUGAUGGUGUAGCGGUGAAAUGCAUAGAUACCAUCAGGAACACCGAUAGCGAAGGCAUUGUACUGACCGACAACUGACGCUGAUGCACGAAAGUGUGGGGAUCGAACAGGAUUAGAAACCCCUGUAGUCC